rnacentral:tRNA from 2 species
AGGAGCGUGGCUCAUUAAGGUAGGGCGUCCGCCGCAGGCGGAAGGCCGACAGUUCAAGUCUGUCCGCCCCGACCA